rnacentral:tRNA from 1 species
CCGAGUUUGGCGUAAUUGGUAGGCGCACCUAGUUACCAGCUAGGCGGCAAUGGAGUGGAAGCUCCUAGCCAUGCAGGUUCAAAUCCUGCAACUCGGA